GCUGCUGUAGCUCAGUAGGCAGAGCACUUCCUUGGUAAGGAAGAGGUCACCAGUUCGAAUCUGGUCAGCAGCUCCA
rnacentral:tRNA from 1 species